rnacentral:rRNA from 1 species
AACGAACGCUGGCGGCAUGCCUAACACAUGCAAGUCGAACGAAGUCUUCGGACUUAGUGGCGCACGGGUGCGUAACGCGUGGGAAUCUGCCCUUGGGUGCGGAAUAACUUCUCGAAAGGGAUGCUAAUACCGCAUAAUGUCGUAAGACCAAAGAUUUAUCGCCCAAGGAUGAGCCCGCGUAAGAUUAGCUAGUUGGUGGGGUAAAAAGCCUACCAAGGCGACGAUCUUUAGCUGGUCUGAGAGGAUGAUCAGCCACACUGGGACUGAGACACGGCCCAGACUCCUACGGGAGGCAGCAGUGGGGAAUAUUGGACAAUGGGCGAAAGCCUGAUCCAGCAAUGCCGCGUGAGUGAUGAAGGCCCUAGGGUUGUAAAGCUCUUUACCAGGGAUGAUAAUGACAGUACCUGGAGAAUAAGACUCCGGCUAACUCCGUGCCAGCAGCCGCGGUAAAGUGACUACUG